ensembl:lncRNA
CCAGGAUUGUUAUCUGUCCCAACUCCUGUAUUUAUCAAGAAAAUAUGGAUGCCUUCAUUACAGCACCAGAAACUAGAAUACACUCUGACAAAAGCAGACAGUCUAUCUGAAAAGACUGAACACAUCUCUUCUGGAGGAAAAUGAUUGCCCAGAGCUAAUAUUAUAGCUGAUAUAAAAUGAAUUAGAACAUCUCAAGUAAAUUAGACAUUCAAGGAAAGAGUACAACAAGAAAAAGUGACUUAUUCAGAUCCAUAUCUCUGCUUGCUUUCUGAGGCAUUUCUUGCAAUAAGACUCUGAUUUAUCUCGGAGAUGAGAGGUGCGUGUUGCUAUGUGGCAAUCAACAUCACUAUGUGGACAAUUUUACAUUUGAAAGCAUUUCCUUGGAGCUGUUUGCGUUUAGAAGAGAGUGUUCAGGACUGUCUACUGGUGGAAGAUCUGGCCUGUGACCAAAUAACUCCAGCUUGCUAUGGGAGACUGGGGGAUGACACCAUUGCAUCCUGUGAAGACAAGAUACAAGUUGGCGCCUCAUGCUCCCUCUUAUCUGCUAGCAAGGUCUGGAAGAUGGGAACAAAAGGAGUUCCUGCUGAGAUCCAAAAGCCAGAAGAUGUCAUUCCAAAGAGAGCUGACUCAACCACUUUGGAUGUAUAAAUCAGUCUGUACUACCAUUGAAAAGUUGUCGUCAUCAACGGAACAAUGCCCAACAAUCCCCCACUACUGAAGAUCAAUGACUGAACUAUUUAAUGUCCACAUGGAAGGGCUUUAAAACAGAUAGAUGCAAGUACACACUUUUCAAAGUUUUACAUGCAUUUGAUUUCACUCUUCCUGUUGAAAAAACUUUCCCAAACUCAGCUCUAGCUACCAGUAACAAAAUUCCCAACUAAGAGCUCUCAUAUGCUAAUCUCAGUUCAGCAUGCUUGGUACCAUACCUCAAGAAAUAAAUGACUGAGGGGAUAGCAACAAUGAAGGUAUUCCUCUGAAGGACUUGGAGAACUCAACAGGAAAAUUCAUCAGAAAUAUCCUGAGAUAUGUAAAGCUAAGUCUAUUUCGUUAAGUAUUUAGAUCUUAACAGAUAUCUACCACUUCAGACAGGAAUUCUAAUCCAUCAGACCACAGGAUAUUUGAAAGUCAGACUGCUGUUAUCUGGUAUCUUUUUUUAUAUAGAGUACUUAAUUACUGGGACAUAGACAAUGACUCCAUUGCUGGCAGCUAGAUCUGUCUUCUUUCUAGUCCUGAUUAAAUGUCUGUAUGUUGGUACAGAACAGAAACGCAUUAGCAGAACAGAUGCAAUAGUGGUGUAUACACUAUCAAAUUGUUAAAUUUACUCUUUCACUUUGAGGCCCAGUGUCAGAAUUGUUAAAAGUAUCUUUCUUUGCUCCUUGAUUUCACUAUGGAUCCGCUUACCUACUUCAUAUCUUUUAUUUGACUGUGGAACACGGGAUAAUUAUGUAUAUAUAAUUCACAGUAUAUGUGGAUGCUGAUUAGUCCGCACAGUAUAGUCAAGGGACUGUAUCUCUGCAGCUCAUUUAAAAAAAAAAAAAAAAGACAAUAGGAACAAAUAUUUUUAAAAAUAUUCUAGAAGAUCUGUUAUAACUUAUUGUAUGAAUGUUAGUCCAUUAGAACAAAAGAAAACAGGAGAUUUUCUUCAGAUUUCUU